UUCUCUAUCUGAUUAGCUUUAUUAUUGUAAUCAGAUAGAUACAAUAAUAAAGCUAAUCAGAUAGAGAA